rnacentral:sRNA from 1 species
GCUGGGCAUGGUGGUGUGUGCCUGUAGUCCCAGCUACUCAGGAGGCUGAGACAGGAGAAUCGCUUGAACUCAGGAGGCAGAGGUUGCAGUGAGCCAAGAUGGCACCAUUGCACUCCAGCCUGGGUAACAGAGUGAGACUCUGUCUCCA